UUCUGAAGCGAGUUAUGCGCCUUUGAAGUUGGAGGUGAGACGGCAGAGAAGCAGACAGUCGUUUUCUCUGCCGUCUCUCAUUCUCUCAAAUCUAACUUUGAAGGCGCAUAACUCCCUUAAACA
rnacentral:sRNA from 13 species